rnacentral:rRNA from 1 species
CCUACGGGAGGCAGCAGUGAGGAAUAUUGGUCAAUGGGCGGAAGCCUGAACCAGCCAAGUCGCGUGAGGGAAUAAGGCCCUACGGGUCGUAAACCUCUUUUGCCGGGGAGCAAGGGCGGGGACGUGUCUCGGCCCGGAGUGUACCCGGAGAAAAAGCAUCCGCUAACUCCGUGCCAGCAGCCGCGGUAAUACGGAGGAUGCGAGCGUUAUCCGGAUUUAUUGGGUUUAAAUGGAGCGUAGGUGGAUUGUUAAGUCAGUUGUGAAAGUUUGCGGGUCAACCGUAAAAUUGCAGUUGACACUGGCAGUCUAGAGUACGGUAGAGGUGAGCGGAAUUCGAGGUGUAGCGGUGAAAUGCGUAGAUAUCACGAAGAACUCCGAUUGCGAAGGCAGCUCACUGGACUGCAACUGACACUGAGGCUCGAAAGUGUGGGUAGCAAACAGGAUUAGAUACCCCUGUAGUC